CAAGCUUCCAGAAUCGCUGCAAGUUCUGCCCCAUUACAUAGAAUUUUCUUUGAACCGCUACAUGACUCCGGCGAAGCCUUCUAAGACACAAGUGUCAAUAUCGUAUUCCCUGAAGUGAGUCGGAACUUCGCCGGUGGUGCAUCGUUACUUUUAAACCGAGGACUAUAUUUUCCAGUAGAAUUCUAUUAUUUGAAGAGGCGGCGAAAAUUAUGUAUUUCAACUACAAAAAGUUACGUCAUGAUCCUUUGUACAAGCACUUACCAACUGAUGAUGAUUGGGCUUUUGCAUCGGUGAUUUGUGAUAAGCUGAAGUUAUUCUACGAGAUCACCGAAGGUUUUUCAGGUACAAAAUAUACAAUAAAAAAAUCUUUAUUUUCCGAUUAUUUGUAGGAUUAGGGUGGCAUUGAAUGGGUGGAUUACACAUAGUAAUAUCAUUAUUUCGAGAAUAGAAAAGUAAAUGUUGGAGAAAUUUGAAAAAUAUUGGAAUGAUAUGAAUGGUAUCAUGGGUGUUGCCACAGUUUUAGACCCAAGGUACAAAACAACAUUGUUGGAGUAUUACUUUGAAAAUAUUUAUGGGGUUACUAUUGAACAUGAAGUUGAAAGAAUUGUGCAACUAUGUCGAGAUUUGGUCACAGAGUAUGAAGAAAGAAUGACCUCCUCAAAGAAUGAACCUCAACCCUUCAACGGUGCAUCUUUGGAUAGUGUUUCAGUUGAUUUGGAUA